rnacentral:rRNA from 1 species
CAAAAGGUNCGUAGUGACCUGCGGAAGGAUCAUU